rnacentral:misc_RNA from 1 species
GGUCCAAUCCCAUGGCUGCAACCUAUUGCAUUAAAAGAGCAUCCUCGUUCAUAUUUGAUUCCACGAGCCAUUCAUACAACUUAAAUAACACGUUUCAUUUAAUAUAUAUUGACAUUUAUAAUAGUAAAUUGAUCUGCUGAUUCACAAUCUGAACUAAAACUACUCAUGCAUGUAAAAUCUUGUGGAGAUCUAAAAUCCCGUAAUUCAUUAGUUUACAAGAAAAGUACUGAAUGCAAAAGAAUCAGUGUUUAUGCAAACUGAUUAAGAAAAUAUAUCAACAUGAAAUUAAUUCUGCAUCGAAUUCAAAAGAAAAAAAGUGUAAACAACUUGUACCUUUACGGUGAUAGCCACAAUC